GGGAAAUCAGGCGGCGCCAGGGUCGGCAGCUGACCCUUCGGCGAGGCACGGCGGUAUCUUUCGGUGUCCCAUCUGCUUCUCCUCGUCGUCUUCCCGAAGAUUUGCAGUACGGAGCAGACCAGUAUGCAGCUGUUAAACUUAACAUCUACCUCAUUUGCUGUAUGUUCAGAGGUGCCUAUCUCCUUCAUGUUUAAUCAGAGCCCCUGACGAAGGCCAAAACCCAAGGUGGCUGGAACGCGUUGGGCUUUUCUUUUUAUAAACUGCUUUGUAUUUUUACAAACCCACUUGUUGGCGUCUUGUGGGUCUUUCCCCCUUUUUUUCUCCAUCUUGACACUUGGCCACACCCCUUCUUCUGGCUGCAUUUUGAAGCAAUACUGCCCUCUGCUGGCCACAUCUCCCUUCCCCACUGCUGCAGACCUUUCAGGACCACCCACAGCAAAGUGUCAGGCCAAUCACUGUCUCCGCCUGAGCCUGCACCAAAGAGUUUCUCUUGGCCACACCUGAAAGACAAAGGGGUCUAUCUAUCAAUCAGCUGCAAAACCUCCCUGAAGCCAAUUUAAAAAAAAAAAAAAACACUGGAGCUGAUCUGAUGUUUUAAGAAUAAAAAAGGUUGGAGUUUGACUAGCCUAGUGUGCCCCCGUUUUGAAAAAAGAGAGGUAGAGACACACUUUUUCCAGCCCAAUAGCAAGUGUAUCUCUACCCCAACUCUGCUCUAUUUUCUGUAUGACAAUCUUCAGAUAGAACGGUAAGCAGCUGUGAAGACGUUGCACUAUGCUUGCAGAUACGGUAGCAUGACUAUUUUCACUAUGCAAAAUUGGAAAGAAUUCCCUAUAAGCACAUGAUGCCUUUGGGAACCAAUAAAUCUAUAGGUGGAAUACCUCAAGAUCAUCUACCCAUGGCAAUCAUAUCCUGCUGUUAGCAAUCACUAGUAGGCUUGAAACCCUACUGGGCUGCAGACCUCCAGGUGAAAGGAAGUUGGUAAAGAGGUGUUCCCUUUCCUAUUUGACUCCAUACUCAGAUCUACUUUAGGAUUGCUGACUUUCAAGAAUCAUUACCCUCAGUGCUAGUCAUAGGUUUUUUGGGGGGAUGCAUGGGCAAGAUGCUCUCACUGGACCCCAUUCCCCAAGUACAACUGUCUCAUCCUCUUCACCACUACUCAUUUGGUGGUCUCUCUCUUUGGACCCAAGCUAUACCCCCCCCGGGGAAGGAUAAUACAUGAAAAGGAUAUGCCUCCUUCCCCUACCUCCUCUCAUUGCCUGCUUAUUUGGGGAGGAGAGGUGAACAGGCAGGAACAAUAGGAGCAGGAGGCUCCAAGGAUUGAGCCCCCUACUGGUGCAUGGGGUUCAGCAAGUGUCCACUGAUGCCAAUCUCUGAUGCAGGCCUUGUUGAUCCUGAAACAGCAGCCCCUUUCUUUGCAGACAGAGAAUUACAGGACCCUUUAACAAUGUACCAGCUGAAAAAGACAUGUUGCCAUGAAGAAUCAUCCUUAAAAUCUACCUUUAUUAUGCUCAAUAUAAGAUGCAUAGAUAUGUGGAAUUAUUGUUUUAACUUGAGAGUGAAAAUGAUAUAUUUUGCAUUUUUUUCAAAACAUAUUUUGCACAGGACAUAAAUACUUAAAAAAAAUAACCUGGACUAUAUACAAGUUGAAAGAAAUUAAGAAGUAUAUGAUGAAGUGUUUUCCUGGCCUUCCACUGGGUAAGAAUUCCAGAAGCAACUGAAUAAGUAAAUUAUCUCCCGAGAGUGUGAAUCUCAAGAAAUCCUACAAUCGGCUUAAAAUUUAGCAAAAUGUGUGGGGAGAAAUCAGGAAGAGUUAGAAUGGUGUCUUUAAAAAGGAAAUCCUUAAAACGCUUUUUUGUUACAGUAUCACAGCAAAAUUGCAAAGCAGACCCCAAUGAUCACUAGGAAAUCUGCCACAGUCUAGUUUUUCCAGCCCAAUUAAAUCCAAACUCUGAGGAAUAAUUUGUCCACCAGCAGAAGCAGCUCGGAGGAAGAGGCGGUCAAACCUCAACUUGCACUUGUAACGUGCAUCCAAGUUAGUGUUUUGGCUUGUGUCCCAUGUGUAGCAGCAAUGUUCUGGCUUGCCCAAGAAUUCCCAAAUGUCUAAAACGUUAUUAGGCAAGCCACCUAGUUUAGCAACCUGAUGGAGAGAAAAGUGGAAAAACAUUAAGAGUGUAUUAUAACCAUAUUACUAAUAAUCUGUUUUUUGAACAAUAAAAGAUGGUGCCAUGUACUGAAAUUAUCACAAUUUUGUCUCUUCUUGUAUCUCAGGAGAUUUUAUAACAAAAUGUAAAAACUGUAUAGGAUACAAGACUGUGCCUUCCUCUAUCCUUUCUUCCCAAAUGUAUAUUAAAUAAUUCUCGCCUUUUCUUUGCUGUCCCUUUUAACUCU